rnacentral:misc_RNA from 1 species
AUACGAACGAACAUCAUUCUCUCACAGGGCCACAGAGACAAUUCAAUCUGCGAGAAUACGUUCGCGUCUCUCGCCUGGGAUCCCAUAGAGUAACGAUGCUCCCGCUCGAUGAGAACUCAAGGCUGCCGGCUAGGAAUCUCCAAAGCCUGUGGUCUUCAGUAUCGCGCUUGGUGUUUUUCGUCGAGAACAUCGACGCGGAGUUCGCCGUGAUGAGGGACGGAGAUGUUUCCCUCCCUCCCCCUGGAGGUUGGACCGAAAGAUUAUACUACGCGACGACAUAUGAUCCGGAAGAACCGAUCGGAGGGAGUGGCGAACCCUCCGAUCGAAAUUCGAAGGGCCAUGAUGAGCUUGUUGGUGUUCGACGACGUCUGCGUCGGCAAGGAUAGGGAUUAGAUAGGAUAUAGCAAGAACGUUGUGUCAAGUAUGCGGCUUUCGGGGGGAUGUGCGGGCUCGGUCUAGUGGCCGUGGCGCUCAUCGCGAUGAAUCUCCUGUGGAAGAUUCCUGACGUCGACAUUGGCAAGAACCACACCACACGCUAGGUCGGAAGAAGUUCCCAACAUCACCAUAUACGCUUCCUGAAGACCCGAAUGGAUGCGAGUGUGAAUAGAUGUUUUACGAAGUCAUCACAUAACUGGAGACAAUCCUAGCAAUCCUUUCUCACCCAUGUUGAUUCCACGAUGAAAACCGUUUUCGAUGGACUAAUUCGUAGGCCUUUUCUCUCUAGAUAAGCUCCAACCAUGUCCAGCAUAUUUCGCAUCUAAUUCCUGAGGCUGCGAAGAGCCGGAAAUACGCUGAGCUGAAACUGAAUACCAUUUCAGUCCGCUUGCAUUCGAAACAAUGGGAGGGCCCGGUUCCUUGACCGUGGCUCUGAUCACCCAGGUCGGUGAGGCUCUGGAGAAGGCGCCGGCGACGAGCGACUGGGGCGAUUCUUCGCCCAGAGAUUGUCGCUCGAUGUCCAACGCGGAUGCGCUGCGUCGGUGCUCGGCACCAUGAGCAGCUGGCGCCGGCCGGCCUGGUGGGAGGACUUAGACU